AGUGAACGCUGGCGGUAGGCCUAACACAUGCAAGUCGAACGGCAGCACAGUAAGAGCUUGCUCUUACGGGUGGCGAGUGGCGGACGGGUGAGGAAUACAUCGGAAUCUACUUUUUCGUGGGGGAUAACGUAGGGAAACUUACGCUAAUACCGCAUACGACCUACGGGUGAAAGCAGGGGAUCUUCGGACCUUGCGCGAUUGAAUGAGCCGAUGUCGGAUUAGCUAGUUGGCGGGGUAAAGGCCCACCAAGGCGACGAUCCGUAGCUGGUCUGAGAGGAUGAUCAGCCACACUGGAACUGAGACACGGUCCAGACUCCUACGGGAGGCAGCAGUGGGGAAUAUUGGCCAAUGGGCGCAAUCCUGAUCCAGCCAUACCGCGUGGGUGAAGAAGGCCUUCGGGUUGUAAAGCCCUUUUGUUGGGAAAGAAAAGCAGCAGGUUAAUACCCCGCUGUUCUGACGGUACCCAAAGAAUAAGCACCGGCUAACUUCGUG
rnacentral:rRNA from 1 species